rnacentral:rRNA from 1 species
UACGUAGGGUGCAAGCGUUAAUCGGAAUUACUGGGCGUAAAGCGUGCGCAGGCGGUUAUGUAAGACAGAUGUGAAAAUCCCAGGGCUCAACCUUGGAACUGCAUUUGUGAACUGCAUAGCUAGAGUACGGUAGAGGGGAUGGAAUUCCGCGUGUAGCAGUGAAAUGCGUAGAUAUGCGGAGGAACACCGAUGGCGAAGGCAAUCCCCUGGACCUGUACUGACGCUCAUGCACGAAAGCGUGGGGAGCAAA